ACAAUAAGAGGCCCUGUGGGUGUAACUGCUGUGUGACAUGUGUGUCAGUAGGUGACAGAGAGGAAAGAGGCUAUGUGUAAGCUCAGCGUUCUGACCUAUGAAUAUCUGAAUGAUUAGUAGCCUAACAUC
ensembl:snoRNA Gm24665 predicted gene, 24665